rnacentral:miRNA from 1 species
CGACCCUGUAAAAAUCCACUCGG